rnacentral:rRNA from 1 species
CCUACGGGGGGCAGCAGUAGGGAAUAUUGCUCAAUGGGGGAAACCCUGAAGCAGCAACGCCGCGUGGAGGAUGAAGGUUUUCGGAUUGUAAACUCCUUUUGUUAGAGAAGAUAAUGACGGUAUCUAACGAAUAAGCACCGGCUAACUCCGUGCCAGCAGCCGAGGUAAUACGGAGGGUGCAAGCGUUACUCGGAAUCACUGGGCGUAAAGAGCGCGUAGGCGGGAUAGCAAGUCAGAUGUGAAAUGCUAUGGCUUAACCAUAAAAUUGCAUUUGAAACUGUUAUUCUAGAGUAUGGGAGAGGUAGGUGGAAUUCGUGGUGUAGGGGUAAAAUCCUUAGAGAUCAAGAAGAAUACUCAUUGCGAAGGCAACCUGCUAGAACGUAACUGACACUGAUGCGCGAAAGCGUGGGGAGCAAACAGGAUUAGAUACCCUAGUAGUC